rnacentral:rRNA from 1 species
CCUACGGGUGGCAGCAGUAGGGAAUAUUGCUCAAUGGGGGAAACCCUGAAGCAGCAACGCCGCGUGGAGGAUGAAGGUUUUCGGAUUGUAAACUCCUUUUGUUAGAGAAGAUAAUGACGGUAUCUAACGAAUAAGCACCGGCCAACUCCGUGCCAGCAGCCGUGGUAAUACGGAGGGUGCAAGCGUUAUUCGGAAGCACUGGGCGUUAAGGGCGCGUAGGCGGGUUAGCAAGUCAGAUGUGAAAUCCUAUGGCUUAACCAUAGAACUGCAUUUGAAACUGUUAGUCUAGAGUAUGGGAGAGGUAGGUGGAAUUCGUGGUGUAGGGGUAAAAUCCGUAGAGAUCAAGAGGAAUCCUCAUUGCGAAGGCAACCUGCUAGAACAUAACUGACGCUGAUGCGCGAAAGCGUGGGGAGCAAACAGGAUUAGAUACCCGGGUAGUC